UCAUCUAAAGCUAAAUAUUGGCCGGAGACCGAUAGCGCACAAGUAGAGUGAUCGAAAGAUGAAAAGCACUUUGAAAAGAGAGUUAAAAAGCACGUGAAAUUGUUGAAAGGGAAGCGUUUGCGACCAGACUCGCCUACGGGGUUCAGCCAGCCUUCGGGCUGGUGUACUUCCCCGUGGGCGGGCCAGCGUCGGUUUGGGCGGCCGGUCAAAGGCCCUCGGAAUGUAACGCCUCUCGGGGCGUCUUAUAGCCGAGGGUGCCAUGCGGCCUGCCCGGACCGAGGAACGCGCUUCGGCUCGGACGCUGGCUUAAUGGUCGUCAACGACC
rnacentral:rRNA from 1 species